rnacentral:rRNA from 1 species
CUACGGGGUGCUGCAGUUAGGAAUAAUCUACAAUGCACGAAAGUGUGAUAGUUUGAGUCAAAGUGCGCUUCAAUUUGGAGUGCUUUUGUGGAAUGUAAAAAGUUCCACGAAUAAGGACUGGGUAAGACAGGUGCCAGCCGCUGCGGUAAUACCUGCGGUCCAAGUCGCAGCCAUUUUUAUUGGGUCUAAAACAUCCGUAGCUUGCUUGGUAAGUUUCUUGUGAAAUUCUAUAUCUUAAAUAUAGAGCGGGCAGGAAGUACUGCCAAGCUAGAGACUGGGAGACGUAAGAAGUACGUUUGAAGUAGCGGUAAAAUGUGUUAAUCUCAAGCGGACUCACAACAGCGAAGGCAUCUUACGAGAACAGUUCUGACAGUAAGGGAUGAAAGCUAGGGGCGCAAAACGGGUUAGAUACCCCCGUAGUC